rnacentral:rRNA from 1 species
GGGGAAUAUUGCACAAUGGGGGAAACCCUGAUGCAGCGACGCCGCGUGAAGGAUGAAGUAUUUCGGUAUGUAAACUUCUAUCAGCAGGGAAGAAAAUGACGGUACCUGACUAAGAAGCCCCGGCUAACUACGUGCCAGCAGCCGCGGUAAUACGUAGGGGGCAAGCGUUAUCCGGAUUUACUGGGUGUAAAGGGAGCGUAGACGGCACUGCAAGUCUGGAGUGAAAGCCCGGGGCUCAACCCCGGGACUGCUUUGGAAACUGUGGUGCUAGAGUGCAGGAGAGGUAAGUGGGAUUCCUAGUGUAGCGGUGAAAUGCGUAGAGAUUAGGAAGAACACCAGUGGCGAAGGCGACUUUCUGGACAAUAACUGACGCUGAGGCUCGAAAGCGUGGGGAGCAAAC